CUGGGGCCCUGCACCUGCUCCCAGCCAUGGUGGCCAGGCUCACUGCUCUCCUUGUUUACCUCGUUUUCUCCUUGGCCGUCCUGGUCCAGACAGGAUAUGGAGACUUCAAUGAUUUUAAUCUAGAGGAUGCGCUGAAAGAAACUUCUUGAGUAAAGCGUGACUCAAACAAACGAGUCCACCAAGCAAACACAAGUGGUCGGCCAUGCACCACACUCACAAUCUUGCCUUCAGAAAAGUACAUGCAUAUGAGACUAGCUGCACCUCCAUCUACCUGUUAGUUCUGUUGUGCAAGGCUUGUGUCGUCUCGUCAUACGUGUGUCAUCUUCCUUUUUCAUUCAGUUUUUUUCGAAACCACAAGAGAACGUGCAUCUGCCUUCACCUUUUUUCUGCUGGACUAAAAGAGAACUCCUACCCAUUUCAUUCCUCUCACUGUUUUGUUUUGAGACAGGGUCUCUUGAUUUAGCCCGAGUUGUCCUGAAAUUCUCUGGGCCAACAAGGCCGGCUUUGACUUGGGUCCAGUGCUAGAACAACAGUGACUCUUGUCCACUGAUGCAUUUCUAGCUUCAGAACCCAUGACUUUUUAUGAUUCUUCAGUGUGAUCCCCACAAUGGCCUCAGGGACCAAUACCGAGACCAUUCUCACGAUGUGACUUCUGUAAACCAUAAAGCAGCCAAUGUGUUUUAUAAUCUGCUUCCUUUUGUCCUCCCAUCUCCCUUCAGGGAGCCACUUAGGCACCACGACUAGGAGGACAGGAACUACCAAAGCCCCAUCAAAUCCAGCAGGAUAUGGAGACUUCAAUGAUUUUAAUCUAGAGGAUGCGCUGAAAGAAACUUCUUGAGUAAAGCGUGACUCAAACAAACGAGUCCACCAAGCAAACACAAGUGGUCGGCCGUGCACCACACUCACAAUCUUGCCUUCAGAAAAGUACAUGCAUAUGAGACUAGCUGCACCUCCAUCUACCUGUUAGUUCUGUUGUGCAAGGCUUGUGUCGUCUCGUCAUACGUGUGUCAUCUUCCUUUUUCAUUCAGUUUUUUUCGAAACCACAAGAGAACGUGCAUCUGCCUUCGCCUUUUUUCUGCUGGACUAAAAGAGAACUCCUACCCGUUUCAUUCCUCUCACUGUUUUGUUUUGAGACAGGGUCUCUUGAUUUAGCCCGAGUUGUCCUGAAAUUCUCUGUGCCAACAAGGCCGGCUUUGACUUGGGUCCAGUGCUAGAACAACAGUGACUCUUGUCCACUGAUGCAUUUCUAGCUUCAGAACCCAUGACUUUUUAUGAUUCUUCAGUGUGAUCCCCACAAUGGCCUCAGGGACCAAUACCGAGACCAUUCUCACGAUGUGACUUCUGUAAACCAUAAAGCAGCCAAUGUGUUUUAUAAUCUGCUUCCUUUUGUCCUCCCAUCUCCCUUCAGGGAGCCACUUAGGCACCACGACUAGGAGGACAGGAACUACCAAAGCCCCAUCAAAUCCAGCAGAGAGAUGGGACCACAUCACCACUACUACAGCGAGAAGGCCAGGAACAACUAGAGCACCAUCAAAUCCUAUGGAUGGCUCUAGCUCAUGCCGACAUAAAAACUACCCAGUACAGCAGUGAUUAUCUCUUUUAUUCUGUGGUCCCCAGAACUUGAUUGGUUUGACUUGGAAGACUCCUUGGAUGAUUAGAAUGAUCUAGCUGGACCCAAAAAGCCAAGUACAGGAGAAAGAGGAGGUUGGUCAGACAAGGAUCUUGAAGAUAUCUUGGGAGAUGGGGAAUAGAAACCUGACAAGAAUAAAGUGGAUGGACUACCAGACUGAAGGCUUCAUGAAAGAACUGUGCUGCUGUGAACGUCUGUAUAUGGGCGUAUAGAAGAUUUCACACAGGCAUAGUUUUUAACUGUCUAGAGUACUUGUGGGCAUUGGCAUCUGCUCAGCAUCUGCUAGGGCCUCUGUGCUGGGUCCAGACAUGGCUCCGUUUCACUUCUGGGUGCCCCUUUAAUACCCG
ensembl:lncRNA